CUCUCCAUCCCCCACUGCCCGGUGCCAGCGCUCGGCUUCGGUGGAUUCUCCCGGGUCUGGGCUCACGUCUCCUCUGCGCGCCUUGUGCUCCCCUAUCCCGCAGAUACGCAGGCUUCUGGAGACCCUGGGUGGACGCCGGAGGCAAGAAAGAAGAGGAGACGCCGAACCACGCCGCGGAGGCGAUGCCCGAUGGCCCUGGAAUGACCGCAGCCUCAGGAAAGCUUUACCAAUUCAGGCACCCAGUCAGACUAUUUUGGCCAAAAUCAAAAUGUUAUGAUUACUUAUAUCAAGAAGCAGAAGCUCUUCUGAAAAAUUUUCCAAUUCAAGCCACAAUUUCAUUUUAUGAAGAUUCUGAUAGCGAAGAUGAAAUUGAGGAUCUGACCUGUGAAAAUUAAUCUGAUUAGCUACUUUUGAUUAUAUCCAAAGCUUGUGGGGUUUAAAUUUAGUGUACAAAUGUAUCAUAAUUAUUUUAAACUAAUUUAUUUGUAUAUAAAUUAUUAAUAAAAUGAAAUAUUUUGUAA
rnacentral:lncRNA from 1 species